rnacentral:rRNA from 1 species
UACGGAGGGUGCGAGCGUUGUCCGGAAUCACUGGGCGUAAAGGGCGCGUAGGCGGUUUGGUAAGCGUGCGGUGAAAGCCCGGGGCUCAACCCCGGGUCGGCCGUGCGGACUGCGAGACUGGAGCACUGUAGAGGCGGGUGGAAUUCCGGGUGUAGCGGUGGAAUGCGUAGAGAUCCGGAAGAACACCGGUGGCGAAGGCGGCCCGCUGGGCAGUGGCUGACGCUGAGGCGCGACAGCGUGGGGAGCAAACAGG